CAAACGGCCCUUUUCAGGGCCACAUA
rfam:Trachymyrmex cornetzi contig21299, whole genome shotgun sequence.